UCCAAAAGAUGAAGAGUUGUUGCGUGAUGAUGAUGUGGUUACCCCCGUAAAGAUAAGAAAGAUGGUAUAAGGAAAAAAGAACGGCCGACUGAUAAAGGUGUUUCUUGGCUGGUUAAGACUCAGUAUAUUUCUCCUCUUAGCAUGGAAUCAACAAGACAGUCUUUGACUGAAAAACAAGCAAAAGAACUGAAAGAGAA